rnacentral:rRNA from 1 species
AUUGAACGCUGGCGGCAGGCCUAACACAUGCAAGUCGAGCGGAAGAAGGGAGCUUGCUCCUGGAUUCAGCGGCGGACGGGUGAGUAAUGCCUAGGAAUCUGCCUGGUAGGGGGGGAUAACGUCCGGAAACGGGCGCUAAUACCGCAUACGUCCUGAGGGAGAAAGUGGGGGAUCUUCGGACCUCUCGCUAUCAGAUGAGCCUAGGUCGGAUUAGCUAGUUGGUGGGGUAAAGGCCUACCAAGGCGACGAUCCGUAACUGGUCUGAGAGGAUGAUCAGUCACACUGGAACUGAGACACGGUCCAGACUCCUACGGGAGGCAGCAGUGGGGAAUAUUGGACAAUGGGCGAAAGCCUGAUCCAGCCAUGCCGCGUGUGUGAAGAAGGUCUUCGGAUUGUAAAGCACUUUAAGUUGGGAGGAAGGGCAGUAAGUUAAUACCUUGCUGUUUUGACGGUACCAACAGAAUAAGCACCGGCUAACUUCGUG